rnacentral:lncRNA from 1 species
AAAAACUUCCCACCCCAUAACACAAGCCAUUCAUGAUGAAGGUUUGAAAGCUUAAGAAACAGUACUCAAGUCCACCACGGUGAGAUAUUUUUUUCUUUUAUUCGUUAAAUUGAUGAACAACUAUAAAGCUUGGAUAAAGAUGCUUGCGUACUGUGGGUGGCUGUCCCUGUAUGUUUGCCAAAGAUUGCAGAGCUAAGACGCACGGUGGAAGAUUCAAGCUGUCCUUGGCCAAAAUAUUUGAUUCUUUUUGCUUGAAUUUGAUUUCUGUUAUUCAUCUUUUAAUUUCUUUAAAAUGUAACCACGUGGUGUUUUAACAACCAAUGAUUUUUUACGCACCAAAUGGUAUGAACUUGUACAUGCUACACAAAUGUCAUUUUUACAUUUCAUCUUACACUUCCUGCAAAAUUAUGUGAAUUUUAGGUUAUUGGCACGAGAUUUAGAGUUCAAUCCAGUGGUGAAGUCAGAAAUUUUUUAGGAGACGAGAUUAAGUUGUAUAUUUUGAUUAGAGUGAAAAUGUAAUUUCAUUUUGUAUUGAUAUAUAUCUUAUGGUUUUCAGUAG